rnacentral:rRNA from 1 species
UACCGAGGGUGCAAGCGUUAAUCGGAAUUACUGGGCGUAAAGCGUGCGUAGGCGGUUAUGUAAGUCAGAUGUGAAAGCCCCGGGCUUAACCUGGGAAUGGCAUUUGAGACUGCAUAGCUAGGGUGCGGAAGAGGGAAGCGGAAUUUCCGGUGUAGCGGUGAAAUGCGUAGAUAUCUGGAGGAACACCGGUGGCGAAGGCGGCAUCCUGGACCAACACUGACGCUGAGGCGCGAAAGCUAGGGGAGCAAACGGG